rnacentral:lncRNA from 13 species
GUCUGAAGAACAGCCCAUCAGUCAAGUUCCUCCAGUCAGUCAGCUGAGAGAUACUGAAACACUACUGUAGUGCUCAAAGCAGCACACACACACACACAACUAGAUGGAUCUUAUGGUGGAUCUUAAGUCCCUGGGUGAUCCCAUCAAGCAGUUCAGCGACUAUGUGUCAGGGACGGGGACCAAACCGGACAACAAAAUAGGCACCAAAAAGAGCACAGGGGCCAGACGGAAGAGCGUAGUCGUGAGCACCGGGGCCAGACGGAAGAGUGUAGUUGUAGUCCGGAGGCACAGCAUAGUCAGGAGGAAGAGUGUCCCUUGCGCCAAAACUUGCACCAAGCAGAGAGCCGUACCAGACUCCUGGCUCAGUGCAUACCAGGCUGACAUUCAGAGAGAACGGAAACUGAGAGAGAAGAAGAUUGCAGAAAGGUCCAUCAGAAGGAGGAGUCAGCAUUUCAGGAGCCAGCACUGCCUCCCAAAGAGUAAGACAAAUGCCAAGAGGAACCAGAAAUCUGUGAAGGAUGAUUCGCUGUUUGGUGCCUUCCAGGGGCUCAGUCUGAACGUGACGGGAGGUGCCCAGAGCUCGAUGGCCUCAGGCGGGGACCAGUGUAAAAUAAUGUGAGGCAAAAGACUUGACUCAUAUAACCUGGCCUAGGCUUCCAGGGCCGAGGCAACAUAUCACCUAACACUUUAAUCUCGUUCACCAGCAGGCUCUCUGUUGACAUGUGUAUGGGAUAACAAUUGAGACUGGGGACGAGGUUACCUACACUUUCCCUUGAGACAUUCUGAGAAGACUGAACUACGGGGAAAAACAACAGGUUGUUGAUGAGAAAUCACAAUGAAGCCAAAGUUUNNNNNNNNNNAAGCUCUGGGGGCCAUGCGCCUGUCAUCAAUGUCUAUUUUUAUUUUAUUUAAUAAAUCAUUUUGACAGUAACCCUCAAAAGUCAAUCAUAAACCUUUUCAAUGUCCAUAUGUAUUAAGAAGCUAAGUGUUUGUUUUUUGGGCUUCAGAAAUGUGACUGAAAAAAGUGCCUCAGGCCUUGUAGCAACUGUAAUGACUGCCAAUAAUGUACUAGCUGCUAAUGUAAUAACUUUUGCAUUCAUAAUGUAAUAAAUGCNNNNNNNNNNAAUGGUCCUCCACCCAAAGAACGGACAUCCAGUCAACUUGAUACAACUGUGGGAAGCAUUGGAGUCAACAUGGGCCAGCAUCCCUGUGGAACGCUUUUGACACCUUGUAGAGUCCAUGCCCUGACGAAUUGAGGCUGUUCGAAAGGGCAAAUGGGUUCUAUGGACAUAAUGAAUGCCUUGGAAGAUGUGUUCCACGACACGUGUCGCUAGCGGAGAGGAACUGACAUUCCACAGUGUAGCACUAUUUUCCAGAGAACGCAUGGAGCCCGGAGUUGAUUAUCNNNNNNNNNNGCUAGUUUAGCUAACCAAACCAUCAGUCCUAGUUUGCCUUUAUGAAAAUCGAGUUCAACAAUACCAAUACUGUUUUCAAUUCGACUUUUGCUUUCAAAAGCAUCUCAAACAAAACAUGUCAAAAUUAACUAUAGCCAUUGAAUUCUACCAUGGCAAUAUACAAUGAGUGGGUUUAAUCCUGGAUGCUGAUUGGUUAAAACCACAUUCCAGCCGGUGUCUUUUCCACAAGUUACCACCAGCUAAAGCUAUGAAGUUGAAAUGCCUACUUACUC